rnacentral:lncRNA from 1 species
GGGAAAAAAAAUUUCUCCAUAUGAAAAGUCAGGGUGAAAGAUUUGUUAGUCCAACAUGAGUUGGAUCUAACGUUGGAGGAGGACCUAAUGGGAUGACAGAUAGACAAUGGAUAUCCUUGAAGAAGAGGGCAUGUUCAGCCAUUACAGGGUAUUUGGCAGACUCGACGUCACAUUUGGUAUUGAAAGAAAGGACUCCCAAGGGG